UACGGAGGGUGCGAGCGUUGUUCGGAAUUACUGGGCGUAAAGGGCGCGUAGGCGGCCUUCUAAGUCGAACGUGAAAUCCCCGGGCUCAACCCGGGAACUGCGUCCGAUACUGGAAGGCUUGAAUCCGGGAGAGGGAUGUGGAAUUCCAGGUGUAGCGGUGAGAUGCGUAGAUAUCUGGAGGAACACCGGUGGCGAAGGCGGCUACCUGGACCAGCACUGACACUGAGGCACGAAAGCGUGGGGAGCAAACAGG
rnacentral:rRNA from 1 species